AAAAUAAUCAGUAAUAAGAAGACCUAUUAUCAGGGUUGUUGUGAGGGUCAGAUGAGUUACUGCCAGCAAAACUGACCUGGCUUACAUUAAGUGGUUAAUAAGAAUUGGGUGUGGGGAAAAAAAAAAGAAUAUUGUUUU